rnacentral:sRNA from 1 species
AAUUUGGCUUUCAUGGCUUUAUUUACGAGCCAUGACCAGAGCUAAUCAAGUUAGCGCUACGUUUGUUCUGCCCAAUAGCAGAUAGUGCGAUGUUGCCUUCUAUGGACAAUUGGCCAACUACAAAAUCCAGCUACGAGAGGGGUGCGGGUAUUGCGGGUGUUGUGACGAGGCUAACGGACUACUUGAAUCUUUUCUCUCUGUGUGUUCGGACCAGCCAAGGUCCGAAUUGAAUUAAUGAAGCAUCUGUAUGCACAGCUCUCAAUGAACUGUGAGCUGAGAGCAGGGUUUGGUCUUGGCGCCAUCUCUUAUCAGGAGAUGGGCGUGGGUGUAGCUUUGCUAUAGGUAGCGCCAUGACAAAAUGAACAACUCUAAUUGGGAAAUGUCAGUUGUACAAGGUACGAGCGGUAUCGAUAUCAGAAAAGUACCCAGUACCAAGUCAGAUAGAUAACUGCCAUUGUAUCUGGUAGAUACGAUACUGCAACUGAGACGCUAUCUGUGGACAAGUUUUAAUUGUGUGACGGCCUAAUUGAAUUGCGCUGCAAAUUGUGCCCCCAAUUGCAAACAUAUUUUAAUUUUCCUCUUCAAAA